GGCGUGCUUAAUACAUGCAAGUCGANCGAUGAUUAAAGAUAGCUUGCUAUUUUUAUGAAGAGCGGCGAACGGGUGAGUAACGCGUGGGAAAUCUGCCGAGUAGCGGGGGACAACGUUUGNAAACGAACGCUAAUACCGCAUAACAAUGAGAAUCGCAUGAUUCUUAUUUAAAAGAAGCAAUUGCUUCACUACUUGAUGAUCCCGCGUUGUAUUAGCUAGUUGGUAGUGUAAAGGACUACCAAGGCGAUGAUACAUAGCCGACCUGAGAGGGUGAUCGGCCACACUGGGACUGAGACACGGCCCAGACUCCUACGGGAGGCAGCAGUAGGGAAUCUUCGGCAAUGGGGGCAACCCUGACCGAGCAACGCCGCGUGAGUGAAGAAGGUUUUCGGAUCGUAAACUCAUGUGUA
rnacentral:rRNA from 1 species